ACAGGGCCACAGGCUCUCAGGGCCUUGGCGGCGCCCAGGGGAAGCUUUGUGGACGGUCACACACAGGCCUCGCGCUCACGGUGGGGACGGUGGCCACAGGCCUUUCAGCACUUGAGCCGUCGUCAGUAGCUUCUGCAACCAGUGCUGGGUCUCCUUUACCUUGUCCUUCCGUUCCUGCUCAGAGAGCCAGGCAGGAUUCUUUCUAAGCUUCCCUUCAAGUUCUGAAACCAGGGCCUGCUUGGAGACAUUCCGGAAGGUGUGAGCUUCACCACCACUGGGUUGUCAAGGCUUCUGAGGGGCCAACAGUUGUCUGCACAGCUCUGUCAGGCAUGUGUCUUGUAACUGAGCCUCCAGUAAAGCCUUCUUCAGUGCGAGGACAGGAGAUGUACAGCAGCAGGACUUCCCAAACCUGUGCGCUGAUCUCUGACUCGCCUCAUGUGAACCCAGACCAGAUGGCAUGUACAAAAGCGCCUUGAGGUGCUGGGUCUCCAGCUUGCUUGCUCUGGGAGGGAGAAGAGGGUUAAGUUUGUUUGAUAUCGCUAGAACAGGUUGAGCCUCGGCCUAACGGAGAGAGGGUCACUCGCAGUGGACAAGGCCGUCUGAUGCCAUUUCUAGGGGAGGCCUUUGCUUCUUUGCUCUUGAGCAUCUGGUUCUUUUAUUAGAAGACAGUGAAGGGGUUGGUGAUGGAGUGAGGAGAGGGCUUCGGAGACAAGGCAGGUGUUGGCAGGCCCACUGCAGAGGCACGUUUGCCUCUGGCGAGGACACACGUGCCUGAGAGUCAUAUGUGUUUUCUCUGUGGUGUUGGCUCCUACAAAGCCGGAA